rnacentral:rRNA from 1 species
CCCGGACGGGGUUCUGAGACACUAACCCGGGGCCCUACGGGGCGCAGCAGGUGCGAAACCUCCACAAUGUACGAAAGUGCGAUGGGGGAAUCCUAAGUGCUGGCGCAAUGCGUCAGCUUUUCUCGAGUCUAAAUCGCUUGAGGAAUAAGUGGUGGGUAAGACCGCUGCCAGCCGCCGCGGUAAUAGCGGCGCCACAAGUGGCAUCCAUUUAUAUUGGGUUUAAAGCAUCCGUAGCCGGCCUGAUAAGUCUACUGUGAAAUCCUAUAGAAAACUAUAGGGCGUGCGGUAGAAACUAUUACGGCUUGGGGCCAGGAGAGGUCAGAGGUACUCCUAGGGUAGCGGUAAAAUGCUGUAAUCCUAGGGGGACCCCCUGUGGCGAAGGCGUCUGACUGGAAUGGAUCCGACGGUGAGGGAUGAAAGCUAGGGGAGCGACCCGGAUUAGAUACCCGGUUAGUCCUAGCUGUAAACGAUGCUCACUUGGUAUUGGAAAUCUUUCGUGGAUUUCCAGUGCCGAAGGGAAAGUGCCAGUUUUCCACCUGGGGAGUACGGUCGCAAGGCUGAAACUAAA